GCAAGUCGAACGAGAAAGCUCUUCGGAGUGAGUAGAGUGGCGCACGGGUGAGUAAUGCAUAGGAACGUACCUAUUAGUGAGGAAUAACCUCGGGAAACCGUGGCUAAUACCGCAUAAUAUCGUAAGAUCAAAGGAGGCCUCUUCUUGAAAGCUUUCGCUAGUAGAUCGGCCUAUGUCCCAUUAGCUUGUUGGUGAGGUAAAAGCUCACCAAGGCGACGAUGGGUAGCUGGUCUGAGAGGAUGAUC
rnacentral:rRNA from 1 species